GCUACUGCGGUGCCAGCAGCGGGGGGAAUACAGGGGGGGCAAGCGUGGUUCGGAAUUACGGGUCGUAAAGGGAGCGUAGGCGGCCCGCUAAGUCGAACGUGAAAUCCCCGAGCGCAACGCGGGAACUGCGUCCGAUACUGGCGGGCUUGAAUCCGGGAGAGGGAUGCGGAAUUCCAGGUGUAGCGGUGAAAUGCGUAGAUAUCUGGAGGAACACCGGUGGCGAAGGCGGCAUCCUGGACCGGUAUUGACGCUGAGGCGCGAAAGCUAGGGGAGCAAACGGGAUUAGAUACCCGUGUAGUC
rnacentral:rRNA from 1 species